CGCUAUCUAUCCUGAGCUCCA
rnacentral:miRNA from 2 species